GAUGAACGCUGGCGGUGUGCCUAAUACAUGCAAGUCGAUCGAACAGACGAGGAGCUUGCUCCUCUGACGUUAGCGGCGGACGGGUGAGUAACACGUGGAUAACCUACCUAUAAGACUGGGAUAACUUCGGGAAACCGGAGCUAAUACCGGAUAAUAUAUUUAACCGCAUGGUUCAAUAGUGAAAGACGGUUUUGCUGUCACUUAUAGAUGGAUCCGCGCCGCAUUAGCUAGUUGGUAAGGUAACGGCUUACCAAGGCAACGAUGCGUAGCCGACCUGAGAGGGUGAUCGGCCACACUGGAACUGAGACACGGUCCAGACUCCUACGGGAGGCAGCAGUAGGGAAUCGUCCGCAAUGGGCGAAAGCCUGACGGAGCAACGACGCGUGAGAGAUGAAGGUCUUCGGAUCGUAAAACUCUGUUAUUAGGGAAGAACAAAUGUGUAAGUAACUAUGCACGUCUUGAAGGUACCUAAUCAGAAAGCCACGGCUAACUACGUG
rnacentral:rRNA from 1 species